CCAGGGUGAAGGAUGGUGGGUGUUGUCGUCCAAACAUAUCUCCAGGUCUUUCUCGCCCAUCUUCAAUAGUGAUGAAAUAGAAAUAGUUCCUAAUUUGAACUUCCUGACUAGAAAUAGUUCCUAAUUUGCAUUUAGAGGUGAAGAGUAGCACAUGCAACUGUAUGUAUGUAUGUAUGUAUGUAUGUAUGUAUGUAUGUAUGUAUGUAUGUAUAUGGAGGUGUAUGUGUAUGUGAAGAGUAGCACAUGCAACUGAAUGUAUGUAUGUAUGUAUGUAUGUAUGUAUGUAUGUAUGUAUGUAUGUAUAUGGAGGUGUAUGUGUAUGUGAAGAGUAGCACAUGCAACUGAAUGUAUGUAUGUAUGUAUGUAUGUAUGAAUGUAUGUAUGUAUGUAUGUAUAUGGAGGUGUAUGUGUAUGUGUAUAUUAAUCUCAGUCCUUGGUUUUGGCGUUUUGGCCUUCCAGUGCGGGAGGGGGCUGGGUUGACGGCCUUUCGCGGUCCCCGCUUGGAGGGCGUCGGCAUUGCUCGACGACGCCCCGGUCGUCCCUUCCCCUUGGUUGCUUCAGCGAAGGGGUUAAGGGGCAGAGCCUUUUCUUUUGCGCCUAGAGAGGAGGCAGGGAAAGGGGGCUGGGAAUCCAGCUUCCUUCCCGCUCCCUCUUUCUGCUCUCCCGACGUCUUUGAAGCCAGGCCUGCGGGGAUCCCUCUCGGGGAGAGCGCCAGAAUUCUUCAUUGGUCAAGCGUGAUUGGACACACAAGAAAUUUGUCUUGGUGCAAGGUGCUCUCUGUACAUAAAAGAAAAGAUACAUUCGUCAAGAGUCGAGAAUCAUCAGGUAUGACACUUAAUGAUAGUCAUAGGGUACAAUAAGCAAUCAAAUCAUACUAGGAAACAGUCAAUAUAAAUAGNAUAGUCAUAGGGUACAAUAAGCAAUCAAAUCAUACUAGGAAACAGUCAAUAUAAAUAGUAAGGAUACAAGUGACAAAGUUACAGUCAUGCAGUCACAAGUGGGAGGGGAUGGGUCAUAAGGAGUGAUGAGAAGAUUAAGAGUAAAGUAGUGCAGACUUUGUAAAUAGUUGGACAGUAUUGAGGGAAUUAUUUGUUAAAGCAGAGUGAUGGCAUUUGGGAAAAAACUGUCCUUGUGUGUAAUUGUUCUGGUAUGCAGUGCUCUAUAGCAUUGUUUUGAGGGUAGGAGUUGAAACAGUUUAUAUAAAUAUUUUCACAGCUCUCUUUUUGACUCGUACAGUUUACAGUUCCUUGACUGAAGGCAGGUUGGUAGUAAUUGUUUUAUUGGUGCCCCAUUCCAUGAAUUAACCAAGUUAAACUAAAAAAAUAGCAAUUGACAACCUUUUGGGAUGUUCAGUUGUAUAUCCUUGCUUGCCAUUUGUUUCAUGAGAUUUCAGAGUUGCAAUGGAGUCACUGAAACAGUAGAUGUGAGCUUAAAUGGACUAUGGAGGAUGGUAGAGGACACGAAGGCCUGGAGGAACGUUGUCCAUGGGGUCGCGAUGGGUCAGACAUGACUCUGCAACUAACAACAACACCUGGUCCACAAAUUUGUGGUUAAUUUGUGUUCCUAUGGUUAUGAAGGUGCAGGAAAAGGAGUUGCACCAAUUCAUGUGUUGCCAACCACUGCACUUUUAUGAUGGUUGCAUCCCACACUCUUGAUUCUCACUCGUGACUUUCCCAGCUAGUAAAGCAAAAUCUGUAAAGCAAAAUCAGUGAGGAUGCGGGCAGGAAAUUGCAAGUGCAGUCGUGUGAAAUUGUCUUUCAGCCCACAGGGAUUUGCUUAAGAACUGCAGAGGAACAGAUAUAAGUUGGCACUGUCAUGUGACAUCAUGCUUCAUGAUCAGGCUGCUUAGUGACACAGAUGCCAUACUCAAAUACAGUCACUAAGUGAAGACUACUUGAAUUGAGAUAUCACCAGAGUGGCUGUGGAAAAUAUAUUCUGACCUUACUUGGAGCUGAUAACUUCUAUGGGCAAACUGGUGCUUCAAAUCGUGCAG
ensembl:lncRNA